rnacentral:rRNA from 1 species
GAUGAACGCUGGCGGCGUGCCUAAUACAUGCAAGUCGAGCGAACAGAUAAGGAGCUUGCUCCUUUGACGUUAGCGGCGGACGGGUGAGUAACACGUGGGUAACCUACCUAUAAGACUGGGAUAACUUCGGGAAACCGGAGCUAAUACCGGAUAACAUUUGGAACCGCAUGGUUCUAAAGUGAAAGAUGGUUUUGCUAUCACUUAUAUAUGGACCCGCGCCGUAUUAGCUAGUUGGUAAGGUAACGGCUUACCAAGGCGACGAUACGUAGCCGACCUGAGAGGGUGAUCGGCCACACUGGAACUGAGACACGGUCCAGACUCCUACGAGAGGCAGCAGUAGGGAAUCUUCCGCAAUGGGCGAAAGCCUGACGGAGCAACGCCGCGUGAGUGAUGAAGGGUUUCGGCUCGUAAAACUCUGUUAUUAGGGAAGAACAAUUGUGUAAGUAACUGUGCACGUCUUGACGGUACCUAAUCAGAAAGCCACGGCUAACUACGUG